CACGUAGGGCGCAAGCGUUGUCCGGAAUUACUGGGCGUAAAGGGCUCGUAGGCGGCCAACUAAGUCGGACGUGAAAUCCCUCGGCUUAACCGGGGAACUGCGUCCGAUACUGGAUGGCUGGAGGAUGGGAGAGGGAUGCGGAAUUCCAGGUGUAGCGGUGAAAUGCGUAGAUAUCUGGAGGAACACCGGUGGCGAAGGCGGCAUCCUGGACCAUUACUGACGCUGAGUGAGCGAAAAGCCAGGGGAGCAAACGGGG
rnacentral:rRNA from 1 species